GACGGGGGAUGCAAGUGUUAUCCGGAAUCACUGGGCGUAAAGCGUGCGCAGGCGGUUCGUUGUGUCCGAUGUGAAAGCCCCGGGCUUAACCUGGGAAUGGCAUUGGAAACUGGCGAGCUUGAGUGCGGCAGAGGGGGGUGGAAUUCCGCGUGUAGCAGUGAAAUGCGUAGAGAUGCGGAGGAACACCGAUGGCGAAGGCAGCCCCCUGGGUCGACACUGACGCUCAGGCACGAAAGCGUGGGGAGCAAACAGG
rnacentral:rRNA from 1 species